rnacentral:tRNA from 1 species
ACUACUCUAGCUCAGUUGGUAGAGCAUGGUGUUUGCAACACCAGGGUUGUGGGUUCGAUUCCCACGGGGGGCC